CUGAUUCGUGUUUGGUAUCAUGACACUACUGAAUUGGACUGCUGGUAUCCUGAAAAACAGAGAUUGGAAUCGCCCCUAAAGAAUGACUUCUAAACAGGAGAAGCAAGGUGCAAGACAGGCCAAGCGCCUAGGGAAAAGAACCAAAUACUACUGUAUUGCUAAAGGAAUUAACAAUAAAGUGACUCCCAAUAGCUGUCUGCUAUA